rnacentral:lncRNA from 1 species
AGAAUUUCAUCAACAAAUUAAUCGUUUUAAGGGUAGAGCAUACUUUUAUUUUACUGUACCAUCAGAUAUAUCAAAUAAAGGCAACAGUAGUGUACCGCUAUUCGAAAUUCAUUAAUCGAUAGAGAAAAAACAAAUCCGGGUUACAAACUAAAAUUGAGGGAAACGUAUCAAAUAUAAGAGAAGUACGACACGACAGAAACACAACACCAAAAUGUAACACACACA